GUCUAUCGGUCUGGUUGAUCGGGUGGUCACCGUCUAUUGGCCUGGUUGAUCUGGUGGCAACAGUCUAUUGGUCUGGUUGAAUGGGUGGUCACAGUCUAUUGGCCUGGUUGAUCUGGUGGUCACAGUCUAUUGGUCUGGUUGAAUGGGUGGUCACAGUCUAUGGUCUGGUUGAUCGGGUGGUCAUGGUCUAUUUGUCUGGUUGAUCGUGUGGUCGCAGUCGAUUGGUCUGGUUGAUCGGGUGGUCAGAGUCUAUCGGUCUGGUUGAUCGGGUGGUCACAGUCUAUCGGUCUGGUUGAUCGCGUGGUCACAGUCUAUUUGUCUGGUUGAUCGGGUGGUCACAGUCUAUUGAUCUGGUUGAAUGGGUGGUGGUCAAAGUCUAUUGAUUUGGUUGAUCGGGUGGUCACAGUCUAUCGGUCUGUUUGAUCGCGUGGUCACAGUCUUUUUGUCUGGUUGAUCGGGUGGUCAUUGUCGAUUGGUCUGGUUGAUCGGGUGGUCACAGACUAUUGGUCUAGUUGAUCGGGUGGUCACAGACUAUUGGUCUGGUUGAUCGGGUGGUCAAAGACUAUUGGUCUAGUUCAUCGGGUGGUUACAGUCUAUUGAUCCGGCUGAUCGAGUGGUCACAGUCCAUUGAUCUGGUUGAUCGGGUGGUCACAGUCUGGUUGAUCGGGUGGUCAUAGUCUAUUGGUCUGGUUGAUAGGGUGAUCACAGUCUGGUUGAUCGGGUUGUCACAGUCUGUGGUCUGGUUGAUCGGGUGGUCAUAGUAUAUUGGUCUGGUUGAUCGGGUGGUCACAGACUAUUGGUCUGGUGGUCUAGACGAUUCUGCUGAUUCAACAAAUAGACUGCUAAACCGUGUCCAUGUUACAAUAUUGAUAUCAUGAGUGAUCGAUUAAAUGUUAUUUGAUAUAUUCCGUAGGCAAUAUUACGGAUAUACAGGUGAACGUAUGACUUGCCUUUGUAUGUGUUUGUGACGGGUGCCACCGGUGCCACAGACAUGCCAUCAACCAGGCUAAACACUGUUACCUCCCAACCCUCGUGUAUGCCCACACCACAUGGAAUGCAUUUGGUCUUUGAAUGGCAUUUAGAAGUGAUAAACAUAAGAGAGAGAAUGUAGUGAUGUCAACUUUAAUAUGACGAGCACCACGUUUCGGAGUAUAUGCUUACUCCUUUAUCUGGUGACUGAUGAUACUCUGAAACGUUGUGUUCCUCAUAAUGCAAAGUUGACAUCAAUACAGCCACACAUCCAUCUGUCUAUAAUUUGCAUUCGGUGCCUCUAGAACAGCUCUCAUUCUCACCAUCAUUUAUUAAUUAGACGGCUAUGUGUUGAGCUUGUUCACUAACCCGAAACGUACUCUAUUGAUUAACUGUUUCAAGUUGCGUCCUGUUUCUUUACUGAACAGGAACGAACCCAUUGUCCUUUUAAUGAUUGGUGAUUUUGCGUCGUGAACUUGGUAACAACCAUAGUAUGAACACUGCUUUUCCACAGCCUGUCUGAGUAUUGUCAAGGAAAAACCUAUCAGCAUCAAACGAAAGACGUUGAUGUGUUCAAAUAUAUUUCGGUCGACAUUAUGUCGUCACUGGAUGAUUUUCACAUUAAUGGCUGGUGUUGCGCUUUGUGCAUACAUGUAUGUUAUGCUACCGAGGACUGAAGGAAUAUCCAAGCAAACAGCAGCCAGAAGCAGACCUAACACUCCUUAUCAGCAAUUUUCAUAUAAAAAACAAGAAGAAAGGGGGACAAUCGAAGACAAAUAUGUGAUUUAUACAUGUAAUAUAAGUCACUGUGGGGGGUAUGCUGACAGACAAAAGGGGAUGGUAACAGCGUAUGUCUUGUCUGAAAUGCUUGGACGCAAGUUUGGCAUUAGUAUGAUAAGGCCGUGUGAUUUCUCUG
rnacentral:misc_RNA from 1 species